UUUCUUUUGAUACCAAUUUCGCAGCAAAUGGAGGUCGGAUGAAUGAGAUAUGGAGGGGAGAAGUUUCGGGUUUUUCAAGCUUUUUCGUCAGAUCUACGACGAUCCGACCGUUAGAUCGACGAUCCGAGACCACCUAUGGACUGAGGAAGAGGAGAGGAACAUGGUGGUAUGAUCAGAUCCGGCAAAUGUCACCGGCGACCGAUAGCCAGCCACCGUGCGCGGUGGUUCCAGCGGUGGCUCUGGUGGGCUAUGGAGAUGAUUCAACUUCCAAAGGCUUCCUCAUAAAUUUUUGGAAUUUUUGAGACACAGAUAAACUUCGGGUGAUCGAGGUCAGCUAUUUUUCUGCAUUCAGCAGCCACAAUAGUCAUCGGUGUACUGCCACAGGAGGAGUUAUUUUACAGAGCAACCUGUUUUCUUCCUCGCAGGUUUAACGUCGAUUAUUUAAUUGUUUUACUAUCUUUUCUAAAUUUAAAAUCUAGAACUCCGCAUGUGUUAGUAAUAGUGUGGACCUUGUUAAAAAUUGUGUUAAUUUAAAUUUUUGAAAUUUAUAAAUGAAGAUUUGUAUGGAAUUUAAACAGUUUGUAAAUGAGGUAACAGGGUUGAGCUGGGCUCCCCU